GGCCUUGUAGCUCAGUCGGCUAGAGCGUUGGUUGUACCAAAGCCUUCCCUUCGCUGGCGUGGGUUCGAAUCCCACUGAUGCCG
rnacentral:tRNA from 1 species